rnacentral:other from 1 species
UCCGCCCUGCGGUACUCGUGAUGGUGUUGGGAGUUUUGAGCCAGCAACUCAAAGUCUAGGGAGUCUCGGUCCUGAAGCUGAAGUGGUGACCCGGGUUCACCGGGUGUCGCAAGGCCAAGGCCAGGCAUCCGCCCGUGUUACGCGGGUUCUAAGACGCCCUACCACACGGUACACGCGGGGCGUUU